rnacentral:antisense_RNA from 1 species
CUUGAGCGACCCCAGCAGCAGCGGCCGGUUCUCGGGACGGCCCUGCCCGCAGGUGGCCAGCAGCGCACCGGCCUC